AGGUAGCUGUCUAGGUAUUCUACCAAAUGAAAUGCAUCAUUUGCUUGCAAGCAUGAAAGAGAGAUGUCUUAUGUAUUUUAUGAUCUUUAUUAUGUCAUUUAAUUUUAUCAGAAUUCUUCUUUUUGCUAAAACAAUGCACUGUUGCAAAAAACAAAAUUACUAGCAGAUAAGAAGGAUGUUGAAGCUCUCAAAGAACUCUCACUUAUAGAGGUCGAUAAAUUUAUGUCCCUAUGGAGUGGUGGUAAGCCAUUUAGGGAUGAUUGUGAGCGGAGAAUUUUGACACACUCGAUAUUAGGCAGUUGAGCCGAGAUGGCAGGAUGAGUAACCCAGACGAAAAGCCUCUAGUGUUACUAGUUGAACUGUUAAUUAGUUAGUUAAUGGUUGUUAUUGUUGUUAAUUAAGGAUAGAUUAGUCUUUUCUCUCUUAAAUAAUUUUUCUACUUCUUUGUAUCUUGUAUAUAUCGACAGUGCUCAAGCUAAUAAAAUAGUGGCUCAUUUCCUUCUUCUCAAUUCUCUGUCUUUAUCCUUGCAUUGCUUGUAGAAGUUUCCUCCAUUAGAGCCCCUCAUUCAUCUCUGAAUUUUGGCAUGGUAUCAGAGCAACGUACCUGGAGUAAAGUGCGCUAGAUCUCUGAAUUUGUUCGUUUGUUCUAUCGAUUGAUUAAUUUGUUGAAGCUCGUCGAGUUUCAUUCAUGGCAGAAGCAGAUUCGUCGAUGUCGGAGAUGGAAACAAUCGAUCCCAAUCAUCUAUUAUACAUCGGACCGUCCAAUACUCCUAGCUCAGUCGUUGUACCCGUGAAACUCACAUGCUCCGAGAAUUAUGGACUCUAGAGUAGAUCGAUGAGAAUCGCACUCUUAGGGAAGAAGAAAUUAGGGUUCAUUACUGGGGAGAUGUAACAGAAGCACAUAUAAAGGAGAGUUGCUGGAGCAAUGGGAGACAUGCGAUGCCAUCGUUCUCUCAUGGAUUAUAAACAACGUAGCACCAGAGCUUUUAGGUGGAGUUGUGUAUGCAUUUGAUGCACAUCUAGUGUGGGAAGACCUGCAACAAAAGGUUCAAUAAGGUAAAUCGCGUUAGGAUUUUUCAAUUACAUCACGAAAUUGCCACAUUAUCUCAAGGAACUAGUUCUAUCUCAGUGUGUUUUUUAAAAUUUAAGGAAUUAUGGCAUGAAUAUGAUGUUUUGGUUCCAUUUCCUAAUUGCUGUGAGAAAUCAAAAGAACAUGCAAAGAAUUUACAUCAACAAAGAGUUAUGCAAUUCCUAUCUUGUUUGAAUGAGUCGUAUGAUCAAGCUAGAAGACAGAUUCUCAUGAAAACUAAUGCACCUAGUCCAAACCAAACUUAUCUCAUGAUAAUACAAGAUGAGAGUCAACAUAAUAUACGGGUAAAUGCUAUGACUUUUGAUGGUGUAGAACUAUUAGCUAUGCAAGCAGGAUGAGGAAGAGGAAGGAGACAAUACCUACAGUGUGAUUUCUGUUAUCUCAAGGGACACACUAAGGAGAAUUGUUAUAAGAUUGUUGGUUACCCAGCUGAUUUUUCCCCUAGAAGAAGAUAUGGUGAAGGAAUAAGAACUCAAGGUGACUGGCAAUAGAGUUCUGGUUAUGGAAAUCAAAAUAGUUGGAAUAGGAUGAACAAUGGUAAGUCUAGAUGAACAAUUUCAAUGCAGGUAAACAAAAUGGCAAUGGUGGCAAUACUGGCAAUGGUGGGAAUAUGGGUAACCCGGUUGGCUGGAGAAAAGAGCCCAUGGCUAUGAUUAACAAUGCAGGUGCACAUUCUAUACAGGAUAUGGGUGAUGGUCCCUCUGGAGCUGUUGAGCACAAGGGAUAUCAUUACUUCUGAAAUGAUCAAUACAAUCAGAUUUUGAACCUCUUGAACAAGGAAUCAAGUCUGAGUGCAAUGUGGCAAACAUGGCAAAUGCAGGAGCUGAAGUAGGUGAGGUUAAUUGUCUGAUGAGCAACCUCACACAAGAAUCACAUAAGAAGGAAUGGGUUGUAGAUUCAGGUGCUACCCAUUACAUUACUUCUGAUUUAGAAAUGUUAUCAGAUGUUAGGUGUACAAGAAAACUAAUAGGGAUAAAGUGCAUCUUCUAACUGGAGAAUAGGCAGAUAUUACUCACAUUGAAAGUGCAACCUUAUUAGACAAAAGAGAAAUCAAGGAUGUGCUUUAUGUUCCUAACUUCAAGUUUAAUUUGCUCUCAGUAGCAAAGCUAACAAAGGAACUAAAGUGUAUUGCAAAUUUCUUCCCUGAUUUCUGUGUAUAUCAGGAUCUUUGGAAUGGCAAGGUGAAAGGGAUUGGUAGAGAAAGAGGAGGCCUAUAUAUGCUUAGAGGAUUGCUCAACAGAACAAAAGCACUCAAUGCUGUGAACAAGACAAACAGAGAUACAAUUGAAGUUUGGCACAACAGACUGGGUCAUCCAUCUGCAUCAGUAAUGAAGCAUAUAGUAGGCUUAAACAAUAAGAACAGUAACAUGUUGCAUGCAAACUGUCUGAUAUGUCCAUUAGCAAAGCAAACUAUAUUGAAGUUUCCAUUUAGCAAUUCAAGAGUAAAAGUAGCAUUUCAUCUUGUACACAUGAAUUUGUGGGGACCAUAUAAGAUUGUUACCUUUGAUAAGAAACAAUAUUUCUUAACAAUUGUAGAUGAUUACUCUAGGUAUACAUUAGUACUUUUUUUGCAGCUAAAAUCUGAAGCAGUAGUGGCAAUAAAGAAUUUUAUUGCCAUGGUUCAAAAUCAGUUUGGAAUUGUGAUUAAAGUGAUAAGAUCAGACAAUGGAUCUGAAUUUUUAAUGCUCACUGUUCAGAGUUGCUGACAGGUCUUGGUAUAGUUCGCCAAAGUAGCUGCCCUUAUACUCCACAGUAGAAUGGAAUAGUGUAAAGGAGGCACAGGUAUAUACUUGACACUGCAAGGGUUUUGAAAAUUCAAGGAUCAAUUCCAAUCAGAUAUUGGGAGAUAUGUGUAAAAUCAGUAGUAUACUUGAUUAACAGGUUGCCAUCAAGUGUUCUAGGGGCAAAACUUCAUAUGAGUUGUUGCACCACAAGAAGGCUAAUAUCACACACUUAAGGAGCAUAGGGUUUUUGUGCUAUGCAACUAGUUUAGUCAAGGCAGACAAGUUUGCAGAUAGAGCCAAAUCAACCAUCCUUAUGGACUAUUCAAAGACACAAAAAGGUAUAUUUUGCUUGAUCUGGUCACAAGGCAGUUUUUUACAAGUAGAGAUGUUGUAUUCAUGGAAUCAGAGUUUCCUUUUUCAAAAAAUGAGGGAAACAAAUCAUAUGAUGUACAAGAUUCCAUGGAACAAGGAACAUUGCAGUUUACACCUCUACACACACAGCUAGCGGGAGAUAUGAAUCUACAUGGAAGAAGGGUGAUAUGAAAGAGAAUGUGUCAAUCUUGCAUGGGACAGAUACUAAUGAUAUGCAAGAUAUCUCUCAAGGAAUAUAUGACAUUAUUUUAUUGAUACAGGUAAACAAAAUGAUACCGUAGGUGCACAAAAUGAUGAACUUCAAGAAGAUGCUGAAAUUUUAAUCAACCAGCAGGAAGGUGAAGGUGAAGAAAUCUCAAGAUCAAGAAGAAAGUCUACAAGAGAAGUCAGAGAGCUAAUAUGGAUGAAGGAUUAUGUUACAACAAAGAAGACAAACAGCUGCACCUAUCCUAUUUCAGACUACCUAUCAUAUAAACAUACUAGUACAACCUAUCAAUGCUACUUGGCAAAAUUCUCUUAGUUAACAGAGCCACAAACAUUUAAGGAAGCAGUGAAGGACAACGAAUGGAUAGAAGCCAUGAAACAAGAAGUGAAGGCAUUAGAAGACAACAAGACAUGGAAAAUAGUGAGCUUACCAGAAGAGAAAAAUACCGUUGGAUCCAAAUGGGUGUAUAGGAUCAAAUUUAAGGCAAAUGGAGAAGUAGAAAGAUUUAAAGCAAGGUUGGUAGAUAAAGAAUAUAGUCAAACAGAAGGAUUGGACUACCAUCACACUUUUUCACUUGUGGCCAAAAUGGUCACAAUGAGAUCUGUUAUUGCACUAGCAGCAUCAACAGGUUGGAACCUAUUUCAGAUGGAUGUCUAUAAUGCUUUUUCUCAAGGAGAUUUGAUGGAAGAGGUGUAUAUGGAGUUACCUGAAGGUUUCAGAAGGCAAGGAGAGCAGAAGGUGUGUAAGCUACUCAAGUGCUUAUAUGGACUAAAGCAGGUAUUUCGACAGUGGAACAUCAAGUUAACUGAAGCCCUGCUAAAGGCAGGAUUCAAGCUGAGUCAUCAUGAUUACUCACUCUUCACUUUGAGAAGUCAAGAAGGGAUAGUGAUUAUUUUAGCAUGAUCUCCUCAUAACUGGGAGCAAUUCAACACUUGUGAAGAAGGCAAAAGAUAUAUUGCAUCAGAAUUUUAAGGUGAAUGAUCUAGGAGAACUAAAAUACUUCUUAGGUAUUGACGUUUGGAGAUCAAGAGAUGGAGAAUUGCUGAAUCAAAGAAAAUACAUACUAGAGUUAAUUUCAGAAAUGGGACUGAGUGGAGCCAAACUUGAAGCACACCAUUAGAAGUGAAUUCAAGAAUGAAAACAGUAGAUUAUGAUCAGGCAAAUGGAGCCACAUGAGAUCUACUUUUGCAGGAUGUCAAUUCCUACCAAAGACUAAUAGGAAGACUUCUCUAUGUUACUAUUACCAGACCAGAUAUCAACUAUGCAGUGCAAGCAUUAAGCUAAUUUAUGCAAGCAUCAAAGAAAUAUCACUGGGAUGCUGCCUUGAGGGUUGUAAGAUAUUUGAAAACUGCUCCUGGACAAGGGAUCUUAAUGAGGUCCGACAGUGCAGAAACUCUUACCUGUUGGUGUAACUCUGACUGGCAGCGUGUUUGAAUUCAAGGUCAGUUACUGGGUAUAUUAUUAGAUUUGGAGAGUCAGUGAUCUCUUGGAAGUCGAAGAAGCAACAAACUAUCUCUAGGAGCUCAGCAAAGGCAGAGUAUAAGAGUAUGGCAGCUAGCAUUGCUGAAGUGACAUGGUUGCUUGGUCUAUUCAAAGAGUAGGUGCUAACAUAAUACAACCAGUUACAAUUCUCAGUGACAGUAAAUUAGUAAUUCAAUUAGCAGCGAAUCCUGUGCUUCAUGAAAGAACCAAGCCCAUAGAGAUUGAUUGUCAUUUUAUUCGAGACAAAAUCAAGGAAGGAACAGUCAAGGCAGCACAUGUUUACACCAAGGAGCAACAAGCUGAUCUACUGACUAAAGCUCUGGGAACAACUCAACAUGUUCAUCUACUUGGCAAGCUUGGAGUGUUCAAUGUUUUGCACCCUCCAGCUUGGGGGGGCAUAUUGAGAGUCACGUGCAUUACAUGUGAAGGUUUCUAGUUAGUUGAGUUGUUAAUUAGUUAGUUAAUGGUUGUUAUGGUUGUUAAGUUAAGGGUAGAUUAGUCUUUUCUCUCUUAACUAAUUUUUCUCCUUCUUUGUAUCUUUUAUAUAUCGACAAUACUCAAGCUAAUAGAACAGUGGCUCAUUUCCUUCUUCUCAAUGCACUGUCUUUAUCCUUGCAUUGCUUCUAGAAAUUUCCUCUAUUAGAGCUCCUCAUUCAUCUCUGAAUUUUGGCACCAGUGGCGCAGGUUGUUUCACAGAUUGUGAUUGUUGAAAGAACUAAUGCGAGAGCAUUAAAGGAAGAAUCAGUACCUCCUACUCAGAAAAUACAGAAAUAGAAGAAUAGCAAGAAGCCAAAAGAAGCAAGUAGCAAGGUUACAAAAAGUAGCACAAAAAAGUACAUCUUUGAUAUUGAAGAGGAAAUCCAUGGUUUAGAAAAGCAACCCAAGGAUAUGAAUCCUAAGAGCAAGGAAGUUGAUGAGACAAAAUUGAGAGGAUGAAGAGAGAGGAGGAGAUAGCAAAAAAUAAGAAGGCAAUGGAGAGGAAGAAGAAGUUGGCCGAGAAAGCAACUGCCAAAGCAGUAAUAAAAUGUCAGAAAGAAGCUGAAAGGAAGUUCAAGGAAAAUAUCCUUUUAAUUCUAUCAUUUCUUUCUCGUUGUUUGUGUGUGUAGGAAUUUACAUUAACUCUGAACUUAUAUGUAUUAUCCUUACUCCUUUCAGGAAUGUGAGAAAAAGGUGAAAAAGAAAACUGGAGCAUCUGUUCCUACUGAGGAACCAACUGAAGCAGCUGUGGAAGUUGCUGAGGAAGAGAAGUGGAGGAACAGGUUAAAACAUCAGUUGCACCUAAGGUUAAGGCGCCGAAAUAGAAUACUAUCAAGAGUCGACCAAAGCGUGCAAAAGGAAUGGAUAGUCCUAAAACUAUACUGAAGCGCAAAAAGGCAAUGAACUAUUGGCUAUGGGCUGCUCUUGCUGCUCUUGUAGUUCCACCACUACUAAUAGCAUAUAAGUAUCUUGUCUAGAUAAUUAUGAAAGUCAAAAGUAGAGGGGGAGUAAAAGAGGGGAAAACUUGGUAUUGCUUACAAUUUUGUAUUAGCUAGUUGCAUUUUUGUAAUGUUAAGUCAUGCCUACUUCUUGCAUCCUUGACUAAGGAUGGAAAAGUCAUAAUGUUGCGGUCGAUAAGGCUUUCUCAGAUACUUACAGAAAAGAAUAUUUUAUGCAUGUUUGAUUUUGGUUGGUGUA